AAGUCGUAACAAGGUCUCCGUAGGUGAACCUGCGGAGGGAUCAUUAACGAAUUUGGGCCCCAAUUGGAUCCAUCAUCCCCCUCAAACCUGUGGAAGUGAGAUGUGUUUCGGCGCCCAGAGGCGCCGAAUCUAUGCCGUUUAGCUUGUGUCUGAAGUAAAAACAGAUUUAAAACUUUCAACAAAGGAUCUCUUGGCUCUC
rnacentral:misc_RNA from 1 species